AACAACAAUUAAGAUGCAUGCAUCCUAAGGCUUCAAUUAUUUUUUAUUGGUAAGGUUACAAUUUCUACCUAUCCAUAUUAAAAUACACACACGUAUAUAACUGCAUAUUCUUUAAAAGAGUCAAAUAUUUAAAUAAUAUUAAAGAGAUAGUAGUUAAAUUUGAAAUAUGAAACAAAUGGGCACAUCUGCCGUUCCAAAGUUGCACAUAUCCCCUUUCCACCUCCAUUUUGAAACCAUCAAAACACAAAGGCAUGAAACAAAAUAAAACAAGCAGCCAAAAUUCCCUUUCCCAGAAUUACUCACGUCUACUGCUUCUUCCCCUCUCUCUCACUUUUUUUUCAAGAAUACACCCAAUUGAAUUCAAACAAAGAAAUCCGUCGGCCCUCUCAAAAAAAACAAAGAAAUUAGAGCUCUGCCGCCCGCACCAAUCGACCGGUCACCGCCGCGGCUUCCGUCGUCGGCUCACUUGGCGACCUCGAUCCACUCUGAUUAGCCAUGUUUUCCCCAUUAAAGAUUUCAUGAAAUGCAAAACACAUGAAAAGGAAAGAGGAUUGGUUGUCGGGAGGGAUAUACCUUGAACAGAUUUUGAAGGAACAAACGAUAACUCCCUCUCUGGAGUUUGGUUCUCGGUUUCUGCCGGAAAGAGUUAAAUGAGUUGGUUUCAAAACAUGUAGAAUAGAGGGGAAAUUCUGCAAGAUUACCUUGAGUUCGAUUGAGUAGAAGUUGAGAAGAAUUGGUUUUGUUCUUGUGAGUUCUUGCAGAUUUGCAGAGAAGCGAAAAUGGGUGGGGUGAAAUUUGAUUUGUGAAAGGAGUAUUAUAGAGAGGAGGCGGCUGGAGGAGCAGAAUGGGGUAGAAAUACCGUGUCUUGCAGAGGAAAUUGUCCGUGAGACUCUAAAUUCGGAACGAGGAAAUACUCAAGUUGCGAUACCUUUUAAGCGAACAAGGUGAGUUUUCUUUUAAUUUAAGAAAGUACCGUUCAUAAAAAUUUUGGGCUUUGUUCCCAAUGAUACCAAAUACUUUGACGUGAAAGGAUAGAUUGUCAUGCCGUAUUUUGUAUUUUUGUGGAAUACCUAUCUGCCUGGCUUUUUGCUGUUGCCUGGAUUUUUGUGGAACCCCUAAUUUGCAAAACAUACGAGGAAAGGGAAGUCGAGCGUUGGAUGGAGGCGAAUGCGUCGCGACAUCUACCUUCCAUACCCUCUUGUUUGAUGAAGCCGCAUGUUGGGCGUUUCUUUGGGGUAUCACCAUACGAAAUCGAAUGAGGAUAACGAAAUUCUAUCCUUAGAAUGAUGAUGCGUACUGCUCAUGCUCCUCGUAAGAGUACCAUAGCUACAGAGACGAGGCGUCGCCAUAUUGAUAGGUUCUAUGCCUGCCGAAGGAUGGCGGGGGAGGACAUAGUUGAGUUUGUGACACGUUUUUUGUCUUGUUGGCGUCGCGCUCAUCCCUACAUAGUGGGAGGAUACGACGGUAUUGUACUACUAGUGGACACUCUACCCAAGGAGUAGAGUGAGUGGCCUCAGGCUACUGCCAAGCGGUUUUUCAGAUGCAACCCACCAUUAGUUGCGUUGGAUGGAGACAUACAUGAGUUCGUGAAGGCCAUAUUUGAUGUAUUGGUGGACCAUCCGGAGAGACCGCCACUUGCUUCUAAGGUGGAGCCACCCACCACACGAUUCGAUCUAUCUCUUUGGACUAUUCCCGGGCUAGAGAAGGGCGAGUCCUCCCGAUCAUCGAGGGCCAAGAGGGUCCGCACCGAGGAUCGAGACUGCUAUGACUCUGAGAAGGGGGGUCGGAUAAGGAGGAUGAUGACCACGAGUUAUACGCUGGAAAUGAGAAAGAGUUAUAGCACGCAGAGGAUAUUUGGAAGGGGAAGGCGGUGAUAGAGGAAGGGGACCCAGAUGAUGAGGAGGACCCCGAGGAGAGACCUUACAAUGAGACUUCGGGCAUAUAGGAUGCCAAGUUUAUUCCCCACCUCCA